rnacentral:rRNA from 1 species
GACGAACGCUGGCGGCGUGCUUAACACAUGCAAGUCGAACGAAGUGGCGAACGGGUGAGUAACGCGUAAUCAACCUGCCCUUCAGAGGGGGACAACAGUGGGAAACGACUGCUAAUACCGCAUACUGAAGGAGGGGAUUGCGUCUGAUUAGCUAGUGGGGGGGGUAACGGCCCACCAAGGCGAUGAUCAGUAGCCGGUGUGGGGGGGAGAACGGCCAAAUUGGGAGUGAAGCACGGCCCCGAUUCCUACGGGAGGCAGCAGGGGGGAAUCAUCCGGAAUGGACGAAAGUCUGGCGGAGCAACGCCGCGUGAGUGGUGACGGCCUUCGGGUUGUAAAGCUCUGUUAAUCGGGACGCGGUACCGGAAUAGAAAGCCACGGCUAACUACGUGCCAGCAGCCGCGGUAAUAC